UAGUAGUACGGAAUAAUUGUUGGAAACGGCAACUAAUACCGUAUAUGCCCUACGGGGGAAAAAUUUAUUGCUAUUAGAUGAGCCUAUAUUAGAUUAGCUAGUUGGUGGAGUAAUAGCCUACCAAGGCAAUGAUCUAUAGCUGAUCUGAGAGGAUGAUCAGCCACACUGGAACUGAGAUACGAUCCAGACUCCUACGGGAGGCAGCAGUGGGGAAUAUUGGACAAUGGGCGAAAGCCUGAUCCAGCCAUGCCGCAUAAGUGAAGAAGGCCUUUGGGUUGUAAAGCUCUUUUAGUGAGGAAGAUAAUGACGGUACUCACAGAAGAAGUCCUGGCUAACUCCGUGCCAGCAGCCGCGAUAAUACGGAGAGGGCUAGCGUUAUUCGGAAUUAUUGGGCGUAAAGGGCGCGUAGGCUGGUUAAUAAGUUAAAAGUGAAAUCCCGAGGCUUAACCUUGGAAUUGCUUUUAAAACUAUUAAUCUAGAGAUUGAAAGAGGAUAGAGGAAUUCCUGAUGUAGAGGUGAAAUUCGUAAAUAUUAGGAGGAACACCAGUGGCGAAGGCGUCUAUCUAAUUCAAAUCUGACGCUGAAGCGCGAAAGCGUGGGGAGCAAACAGGAUUAGAUACCCUGGUAGUCCACGCUGUAAAC
rnacentral:rRNA from 1 species